rnacentral:antisense_RNA from 1 species
UUUGAUCGAACCCACCCACAACGGCCGCUCCGACGACCGGCCCUGCCCAUAGGUGGCCAACAAUGCCUGCGCUUC